rnacentral:lncRNA from 1 species
AAAUCCCUCUCUGCCCCUUGGUACAGGUGGCAGCAUGAGCUCCCAGGACAUCUGCAGCUCCCCAGGUACUCGUGAGUCCUUCCCUCCCAGACCCAGGGCACUUGGAAGCCCAACCACUGUGAGCUGUGCCCUAUGGCAGCCCUUCACUGCUGUGUCUCCUCCAGGGGAUCUCCGAGCUCCUGCUCUCCAAAUGAACUCAACUUCUGCUCUGCCAGGUACAAGAGUUGUGCUCCAGUGUAUUCUCCCUGUGGUGUCACCCGUAAUACGAAUCAUCUUCUGCAAGGAUGGCAAGCAGCUGUACAGCGAGAAAGCCCAUCAAGGGCAGCUGAACUACUCCGUGGUCCUGAACAUCACGUCAAGAAGCGCAGGAAGAUAUACCUGUGGGUACCAGGAGUGGAAUGAGAUGAAACACAUGAGGAGCUCUGCCCUCAGUGCUGGCCGCAACCUGGAUGUCCCUGGCAAUGUGGUGAGUUCCCCAGCAAGUCCACCACCCCCAGAUCCACAUGCAUGGAUCCCGCACGCUCUCCCCACAAGCACGGUGCUGGCAGUGGCGGCCGUCGGCCUAGUCCUCCUGUCUACAGGCAGCUGGUUUGCCAUCAGGAAAGGUGCCUGCAGAGGGAGAUGCCCAAGGCAGCAGCACGUUGACAGCCCACAGAUGGAAACCACAGACCAUGGCGAAGUCACGUGUGAGUACCUCCUCCCUCGGGGGAAGCCAUACACCUGUCUCAGGUGGAAUCCCACCACUUCAUUUCCCACUGGGAUUUAAGAAAUCCCUACCUGUUUAUCAAGGGCAAGUU